AGGCCAUAUUGUGCUGCCUCA
rnacentral:miRNA from 1 species